UACGGGGGGGGCAAGCGUUGUUCGGAAUUACUGGGCGUAAAGGGCUCGUAGGCGGCCAACUAAGUCGGAUGUGAAAUCCCCAGGCUUAACCUGGGAACUGCAUCCGAUACUGGAUGGCUUGAAUCCGGGAGAGGGAUGCAGAAUUCCAGGUGUAGCGGUGAAAUGCGUAGAUAUCUGGAGGAACACCAGCGGCGAAGGCGGCGCUCUGGGCUGGAACUGACGCUGAGGAGCGAAAGCGUGGGGAGCGAACAGG
rnacentral:rRNA from 1 species